GAUCAGGGCUCUCCGGGCACAGCUGACCAUGAGGUUCCCUGCUCAGCUCCUGGGGCUCCUCCUGCUCUGGGUCCCAGGAUCCAGUGGGGCCAUCGUGCUGACCCAGACUCCACUCUCCCUGUCAGUCAGCCCUGGAGAGCCGGCCUCCAUCUCCUGCAGGUCCAGUCAGAGCCUUGAGAAUAUGG